AACGAACGCUGGCGGCAUGCCUAACACAUGCAAGUCGAACGAGACCUUCGGGUCUAGUGGCGCACGGGUGCUUAACGCGUGGGAACCUGCCCUUAGGUUCGGAAUAACGCACCGAAAGGGGUGCUAAUACCGGAUAAUGUCUUAGCGCCAAAGAUUUAUCGGGUUUGGAUGGGCCCGCGUUUGAUUAGCUAGUGGGUAGGGUAACAGCCUACCAACGCGACGAUCCAUUGCUGGUCUGCGAGGAGGACAAGCUACAAUGGGACUGAGACACUGACCAGACUGCUACGGGAGGCAGGAGUGGGGAAUAUUGGACGAUGGGCGAAAGUCUGAUCAAGCAAUGCCGCGUGAGAGAGGAAGGGCUUAGGGUUGUAAAGCUCUCUUAGCCGGGAGGAUAAUGACAGUACAGGGAGAAUAAGCACCGGCUAACUCCGUG
rnacentral:rRNA from 1 species